rnacentral:lncRNA from 1 species
CGCCCAAUUCCCGUUUCUAGCAAAUUUUCAAAAAAUCCCCAAAAUUUCUUCCCAAAAUCCCCAAAUUUUUCACCCCAAAAUUCCCAAAUUUCUCAUCAAAACUCCCCAAAUUUCCCACAAAAAUCCCAAAUUGUUCACCCAAAAUUCCAUUUUUUCCCCAAAAUCCCAAUUUUACCCCAAAACCUUCAAAAAUUUCCCCCCAAAAUUUCCCAAAUUUCUCCCCAAAAAUCCCCAAUUUUUAACAUCAAAAUCGUCAAAUUUCCCCCCAGAAAUCCCAAUAUUUUCACCCCUAAAUCUGAAAAUUCCAACCCCAAAAUUCCUAAAAUUUCCUCCCAAAAAUUCCCAAAAAUCCCAAACAUUUCUCCCCCCAAAUUCCCCAAUUUUCACCCCAAAAUUCCCCAAUUUCUCCCCCAAAUUCUUCAAAUUUCCCCCAGAAAUUCCAAUUUUUUCACCCCAAAAUUCCCAAAUUUUCCCCCAAAAUUCUCCAAAAAAAUCCCCAAAUUUCCCUCAAAAAUCCCAUUUUUUUUCCCCCAAAAUUCCCAUUUUUAUCCCCAAAUCCCAUUUUUUCUCCCCAAACUCCCAAUUAUCCCCCUAAAAUUCCCAUUUCCCCCAAAAAUUCCCAUUUUCCCCCAAAAUUCCCAAAUUUUCCCAAAAAUUCCCAUUUUCCCCCAAAAUUCCACAUCAAAUUUUCCAAAAAUUCAAAAAAUUUUCCCCCAAAAUUACCAUUUUUCCCCCAAAUUCCCAUAUUUUCCCCAAAAAAUCCCAUUUUUCUCCCAAAAUUCAAAAAUUUUCCCCAAAAUUUCCCACCAAAUUCCCAAUUUUCCCCCAAAAUUCCCAAAUUUUACCCCAAAAAUUUCGAUUCC